GGCAGAGCCAGGACUCUGCCUCAGCACUUUCUGCUUCCAUUUCAUUCUCCCCAUGGCCACUCUCAGAAAGUUCUCAGAGAGGCCACCAAACUGAUGCCCUGAGAUGGAAGAUGUACAAGACUUGCUGCUGAGAAUACAGAAUUGGAACCACUUUGGCACUCUUCACAAAAAUCAGAGCUUCCAUCCUAAUUUUUCCUACCCUGUGCCUUUCUGCAACAGAGAUUUUUCUUCUACAAGUGGUUUCCAGACAAGAUUUAGUGCACAUUACGAACACCUUGCCAAGAAGGGGAGUGAGAGCACUGGGAUUUAACACCUUUGGUGCUCCUGCAGCUCUGCCCCAGGGACAAAGUCAGAAUUGGCUUCUUCUGCUUCAGCCCAGGCUGGUGGAGAGUGGCAGAUGUGACCUGAGAGACUGCAGGCUGGUUUAGGUCUGGUUAUAAAGCUGCUUCACAGCCCAGAGAUUGUCAUCCUUACACAAAUGUGACAAGACCUGUAAUCCAAUUGAGGGAACCGAAAAAUAUUCCUUCAUACUCUACUAAAUCUUCACUGCAACGAAUGAAAGCAAAGGUUUCACACUUAUUGCAGGCGCUUUAGAGCUUGUACAGAAUUUAAUCUCUUGCUUUGCUUGGAUAUUUACAAGAAGAAAAGGUCCAGCCAUGCACAGACAAUGCAUGCUGCAAUUACACUUACAAGAGCAAGUGGCAGUCAAUAACUCAUGUAGACACUGAUUUUUAUUAUAUUUAAUCAAUGGUGAUGAUAAUAACUUAUAUCAAUUAAUUUCUUUCCAUUUACAUCUUAAUUGCCAUACCAAAGAGUCCUAGAAACUGUACAGCAAGGUCUCAUAUUUAUUUUUUUUCGUCAGGUUUACAUGAGCUUUGACACCAUCAAGCACUGGUUUGAUGCUGCAGACUGGAGGGAGAGCAGAGACUAAAUACAAUAAUUAAUUAUGUACAUUUGAAAUCGAAUAGGGGAAACCUAAGACAAACAGGUUGCCGAGUUUAUGCAUUAACAGUAACUUGUUGCAUUAAUUUGUCUCUCAAUGAUGAUUGCUAAUUCCUAAUUCAUUACAUGAGGAGAAGGAAUACACUUAGCCAGAGCUAAAUACUUUUGUGGAGAUGCUGGACUCAUUUUAAAUGUGUCCAUUCUCCUACCUGUAGACAAUGGAUCUCUUUGUCAUCUCCUUCCUUGCCUGAUAAUCCCAUGGAAAACUGAAUAAACUCAGACAUUCCAGGGAAUAACAGCAGCAGAAUCAGCCUGGCAUAUUCACAACCCACCAGGACUCAGCACAAGGUGAGGAAGGCGUUCAAAUAAGCAAAUAAAAAGCCACCUGAGCCUCCUUUGCAGGAUAAUGUGGCAGGAACCUCUCUGGGAGCCGAGUAAACAAAUGAAUUAAUAGGAGUCGUUGGGUAUUAUUCAUUCUUCUUUAUUAGGUUGCUCCCUGGAAACCUGGGUAAACUUUGGCUGUGACUUUCUUUUUGAUCUUCUGUGCCCAAAUUGCUUUAAUGUAAUCCUGGAACCUCUUCAAGAAGUUUGUGUUCACGGGCCACUCUGUGCUUAUUUCCAUUUGAAAGGGCAGCUGGUGCAAAUCCUGGCUGGAGCAGCUCGGAGGGGUGGCCAUGGCUGGUUUGAGUUUUGGCCAUGGAAAGGAAGAAAGAGAAGAGAUAGGAAAUCUGGUUCAAACUGAAAAUGUGUUCCAGUAUCCAGGCUCGUGGGUCAGGGGGAAGAGGGAAGAGAAAAACUCCUCCAAGGAGGUUUCACUGCCAAGCCCUGCCCAAUUUGCCAUGGCUCACAGGGAGACACCUUUACCCCUGCCCUGGAGCUCUGCUCUGCAGCUUCAAAAUGAGGAACCAAAUCCUGCAGAGUUCGGGGACAUUUGCUGUUAAUGUAUCUAGGAGAAAUUAAAGAACAUAAAGUCACUUUGCCCUGUCGCUGGUGGUGUUUUCUGUCCAUUUUUUCCCUGUAUCCUCUCCCUGUACCCUGCAGGUAAAGUGCUUGCCAGCCACAAACUGAUGGAGGGAGUAUUUAAAAGAAAUAAUAGCAAUGUCUGUUUGCAAGUGCUCUAGGUGUAGGUAUACAGCAUUUGUUUAACCAAGACACAGCCCUAUUUUAAACUUUUUACAUAAAUACAAUCUCUCUGGGUUAAUUUCUAUC